UGAUACAAAGACAACAGGUGACGUCAUGUGAGAAGUGCAUUGUAGUAUAUUAGCCAGCCCGCAUGGUUGCACUCAACACCGAAAUGCUGAGUUUGUAAACAUAUUAUUGCAUAAAUGUCAAGUAUUUAGCAGAGGUUGUGAAGUUAUGGGUGAAUGGCACCAUCUGCAGCUGAUGCUUAGGACUACUCCAAUACCCCUUUCCCACUGAAAUUAGUGGGUAGUAGCGAUCUCCUAGUUUUGUUGUGGGGGCGUGCUAUAUACGAGGCCGAUGGCGCGCGAUGUUAUGACGCAUCACGUACCGCCCGAUGUCAUCACGUAAUUACCGGGAAGUCCCGUGUUAGGCUUUCAAACUGCAAGCGGAGGCAAUCACAACCCGCCACCAAUGACGUGCUGGUGGACACAGAUCGACACGGAUCGACACUGGCCAGUGAGCCUUUCCCACUGCCCAAAAAAAGCGUGUUUACCUGUGGUUUUGCGGCAGUGGGAAAGGGGUACAAGUGUUAUUGGGGCGAUGGUUGCGGGUGUAAGAGCAAGAAAGUACCUAAUGACUCAUGUGCUAAUGUGCUAAUAAAUCACUUGACAGCUGCCUAGCUUCGGUCAUAGACCACACGAGUGCAAAAAAAAAAA